UGGGGAAUUGUUCGCAAUGGGCGCAAGCCUGACGACGCAACGCCGCGUGGAGGAUGAAGAUUUUCGGAUCGUAAACUCCUGUCGAGUGGGAAGAACAGCUCCUGGAUAAAUAUUUCGGGAGCCUGACGGUACCACUAAAGGAAGCCCCGGCUAACUCCGUGCCAGCAGCCGCGGUAAUACGGGGGGGGCAAGCGUUGUUCGGAAUUACUGGGCGUAAAGGGCUCGUAGGCGGCCAACUAAGUCGGAUGUGAAAUCCCCAGGCUCAACCUGGGAACUGCAUCCGAUACUGGAUGGCUUGAAUUCGGGAGAGGGAUGCAGAAUUCCAGGUGUAGCGGUGAAAUGCGUAGAUAUCUGGAGGAAUACCGGUGGCGAAGGCGGCAUCCUGGACCGACAUUGACGCUGAGGAGCGAAAGCUAGGGGAGCAAACGGG
rnacentral:rRNA from 1 species